rnacentral:rRNA from 1 species
ACGAAGGUGGCAAGCGUUGUUCGGAUUUACUGGGCGUAAAGGGAGCGUAGGUGGUUAGGUAAGCCCUCCGGGAAAUCUUCAGGCUUAACCUGAAAAGGUCGGGGGGGACUGCCUAGCUAGAGGGCGGGAGAGGAGCGCGGAAUUCCCGGUGUAGCGGUGAAAUGCGUAGAGAUCGGGAGGAAGGCCGGUGGCGAAGGCGGCGCUCUGGAACGUUUCUGACACUGAGGCUCGAAAGCGUGGGGAGCAAACAGGA